rnacentral:rRNA from 1 species
UACGGAGGGUGCGAGCGUUGUCCGGAAUCAUUGGGCGUAAAGAGCUCGUAGGCGGCUUGUUGCGUCAGCUGUGAAAACCCGCAGCUCAACUGUGGGCUUGCAGCUGAUACGGGCAGGCUUGAGUUCGGUAGGGGAGACUGGAAUUCCUGGUGUAGCGGUGAAAUGCGCAGAUAUCAGGAGGAACACCGGUGGCGAAGGCGGGUCUCUGGGCCGAUACUGACGCUGAGGAGCGAAAGCGUGGGGAGCGAACAGG